UACAUCCAUAAUAGAAACAUAUAAUAAUCAGGUGUUAACGAUUACAUUUGAAGGUGUUUGUUUUUAAACAGCUGGACGCAACUAGGAUGCCCUGGAUCUGAGCUCCUGUUUGAUUUGAUCCAAAUCUUAACUUGUGACUGAAGCUCAUCACUCUUUUUUUUUUUUUAAAUAACUGUUUCACAUGAAAAGCCUUUUUAGUUGCAUGAAAAGUUGAGUGUACUUCCUAUUUACAAGGUGGUAAUAAUAAUCAUACCCUGGGGUAAGCAAACUUGGACAUCAAUAGAGGAAAUGUUGCUAGCGCAGGGAACAGUUAUAAUUAGGUUAUCAAGAAUUCUCUGUAAGUUGUUAUUACUGUAUGCAAAAAGCUGUGUUGAUGUAAUAAUAAGGUUGAGACCGCUGAGCACUCAGGUCAGGAAAUGGCAGUAUUAACUUUUUGUUCCAUUUGCAUUACUUGUACAGUCUUUAAAUACUUUAUAAAAUAUGACUGCAUAAGUAUAAAACCUAUUCUUUCUUUCUUCCUGCAUUCUGCUGUUAUGGGCCUUGUAACAAAGCGAGGAGGAAGAGGAGAAGGAAGAGAAGAAAAGGAGGAGGAGGAGAAAGCUUAUAAGGAAGGACUCAGGAUAAAGAGAAAAAAUGAUCCACCAAAAGUGCAGCUGUAGCCCAGACAUUUUGAAAUCUAAUGAUAAAGUUAAAGAUACCCUGGCAUGUUUCAUGCAUAGGUCCCCAGCUCUGCAGAGCAGCUAUUGUGGGAUAGCGAGAGAGAAGAAAUGGUGUCACAGAGGUUGAGCUCUUUUCUUACACACUACUGAUGAGGGAUCGUCUAAGUCUUUGUGCCUCCUGCUUGCCAAGAUCUAGGGUCAAAUACUCUAAAAUCUGCAGGAGAGGGGCGAGUACUGCAGAAGAUUUGCACAAGUAACCUCCGAGAAGAACCUGAUAUCGUUCCUGAGAUGGAAGCAUUAGCUCCAAUGUGUGGUAUCCUGAGAACCUGGGCCAUCGUUAACCUAGAUCCCUACAAUCUGACACCAGCUGAUAAAGUGUUGGACAUGCAAGCCGUACAAGAGGUCAUCAUUCUGGUGCAUUGACAAUUGUUUGGAACACCUGAAAAACAAAAACAAAAAAGGUCCCAAGGCAGCCUUGAUGCACUAGGCUGCUACAAUGAAGCAUACAGAGAUGGUGACAUCUCUCAGGGUAUUGUCAAUCAAGAAGUACUCAACUAAAGCCAGACAACAGAGACCAUUGUAAUCCCAUCUGAGAAAAAGAGAGAUAACAAGGCUUUGUUUUGGCUUCAGGACAUAACACAUCCCUGUGUUUCUCUAACUGCUGCAAGCUAAAAGGAUAACAUGGAUCAGGCUGAACCUAAUGGGAAUUUAUACAAAUUGGAUGCUAAUUCCAUUGUGAUUCACAUUUUGCUGCUGUCCAAUGAAGCUAUGAAUGCCAAGUGGACUUCUCGGGAAAAGGAUCUUCCAUCCUCCCUGCUUGUUUGUUUUUAGACACGUCUAAAAGAUGUCUCAGUAGCCUGGAUUUCCCAGGUAGCCUGUCCCACCAUGCUUCCUGCUGUGAAUCCUCUAUCGGGAUAACAAGGCAACAGAGUAGCUAGCUCUUGCCCUCAGGGGUGUCUUGUUUAGUAUGUGGCUGUGAUUGACAGCUGUUAGGAAGAAUGACAAGAAGAUAUUUUACAUCUGUUUAGUGUCUUGACUGUCAUCCAUUCCUUCCCACACUGGCUAUUGUCAUUCUUGGUAUAUCCAGGAAUCCUACUGCUGCCAAUGCAAAUGCCAGACCACUGUGGAGCUAUAGUGUUAUGUAGCAUACAUUAUAUGAGAAAUGAAAAGUGGAUCAGGGUCAUUGCAUAGUGGAAUGCAAUGAUUCCAAAACAUUCCCAUUGUUCCCAACCUAAGAUUUCAGUUUGAUACCAAACAUAAUUGGCCAAUGGGCCAUUCUACUGCUUAUGCUAAAGGUACUUUGGUACAAGUCAAUCACAAACCUUGUGGAGUUUUUCCAUUGCCAUUUUUAAUUUUUGCUGCAAGCCUAAGGAAAAUCGUUAGUGAAGCUGAGUGAAUAAUGCAGUACUUUUGCAGCAGUAAUGAUGGAGAGAAACCUAGCAUUUCUGUAUUCUCAGAAGAUAACGUUCAUUGAAGAAUCCUAGGGGCCUUUGCUUUUCAUAAAA